rnacentral:lncRNA from 1 species
GGAUUUUUGUUGUAGCCUUCUGCUUCCCGGUGCUGAGGAUUUUUAUUGUUUCCUGCUGGGGAUUCCUGUUGUAACCUUCUACCUUCCGGUGGGGUUACUGAUUUCCAAAAUCUGCAGUAUAAGACUAAAAAGUAUUCCUCUUGUUAUACAGGUGGGCGCCUGAAACAUGAAAUGUAAAGACUGAAAAGUAUUCCUCUCGUUAUACAGGUGGGCGCCUGGCAUGAAAUGUAAAGACUGAAAAGUAUUCCUCUCGUUAUACAGGUGGGCGCCUGUUUCAACACUUGUAAUGAAAAGACUGAAAUGUAUGCCUCUGUUCUAUGGGCGGGCUCCCAACUUCAACACUUGAAAUAAAAAGACUGAAAUGUAUACCUCUCGUUAUAUAGGUGGGCGCCUGGC